rnacentral:misc_RNA from 1 species
AAAAAAUAUAUAAAAGAAAAAAAAUAUAAAUAUAAAUUGAAAAUUUAUGUUUUAAGAUGAUUUGAGUAAAGGAAUACUCAGCAAUGAGAGAGCAAAAUUUAAUUAUUGAAGAGAAUUUUAAAAUCAGUCUUAACGAACAAACUAAGAGAAGAAAAAAAAAAAAGAAAAAGAUUCAGAUUCUGACAAGUCAAAAUCCACCAUUAUGGUACACCAACCAUUGCCUUCCCUAAAGAUAAGUCUCUAAUUAAUAAAAACAUCAAGAGAAAGAAAGAAGAAAAUUCAAAAUCCACCAGCAUCAUCAAACCCUGCAUCAUACCCAGCAUCAUAAGCUCCAGCAUCUGAAACCAUAUCUCCAAUUAAAAGCCCACCAAGUGCUCCUCCGAGCAAGCCUGCUCCCAAUCCCGCUCCCAAUCCCAUCCCAAACUUGUUCUUCUUUGGCGGUUGUUGCACUGGUGGGUACCCGUAUCCUGCCUGCGCUGGUGGGUAACCAUAACCUGCCUGAGGCGCUGGUGGGUAUCCAUAACCAGGCGGUGGUGGUGGGUAACCGUAUCCUGGCUGAGGUGGUGGAGGCGGGUAUCCAGUGUAUGGUGGUGGGGGAGGGGGAUAAGCAUAACCUGCCACAGGUGGUGGAGGGACAGUUGGAUAAGGCCCAGGCCCACCAUAAGGUGUCGAACUAGGACCAACCACAGGAGGAGCAGCAGGAUAUGCCGUGACGGGUUGGUCAGCCUUGUCCCCUACCUUAGGUUCUGAGACGACUUUGUCACCAAACUUAAAAGAAAAGUUCAACUCACCUUUGGGUUUCCCCGAUGGUUUCCUGACCUGAUAACUAACGAAUUGCAUGGACUUCCCAUCUCCCAUGGAAUCAAAGAGCUCCUUGAUAGGGACGUUGACUUCACCAAUAUCUUUAUCGCCUAAGGCACGAUCACAGCGGAGCUUGAAGACAAGGUUUAGGCGGUUCUGCUGCGCAGGGUCCCCAUGGAUUGUGAAUCUGGCAGGGAAAUUCCAGGUGGGAUUGGUACCGCCGUCGCGGUCUACGGGGGUCUUGGUCUUUUGUUUAUGGAGUUGUGAAUCGCCUGAGAUUGAAACGACGGCGUAGACAUCCAUCUUGGAGAAAAGAUUGACAUCUUUGAGAUCUUUAGCAGAGAUCACGUUGAUCUCAAGAGUCCUUUGCUCCAUGAACGGGCUGCGAAUGGGAGAGGGAGAGGGAGAGGGAGAA